rnacentral:rRNA from 1 species
UACGAAGGGGGCUAGCGUUGCUCGGAAUCACUGGGCGUAAAGGGUGCGUAGGCGGGUUUUUAAGUCAGAGGUGAAAUCCUGGAGCUCAACUCCAGAACUGCCUUUGAUACUGAGAAUCUUGAGUACGGGAGAGGUGAGUGGAACUGCGAGUGUAGAGGUGAAAUUCGUAGAUAUUCGCAAGAACACCAGUGGCGAAGGCGGCUCACUGGCCCGUAACUGACGCUGAGGAGCGAAAGCGUGGGGAGCGAACAGG